CCACGAGCGUCCACAAGCGGCCCCGAGACUUCAGAAUGUCGUUAUUUGCAAGACCGCUAGAGGCGCUACAUUUUGAUACGCUCCAGUGGGUCGUAAUUUGGGGCGGUACAAACGACCUAUGCGGUCGUAUUUUCUAGGAGGACAGGCUGCAUUUCAUAGGUAUGUGAUACCAUUCUGAGUCAUGCCAAGGAGAGGUAUUCUUUCACCAAGCACCUCAUCAGUGCCACUCUGCUGCAAGGAGACUUGUUCUCCCAUUACAGCGUAAAGUUCCCAGAUUCAGCGCUGGAAACCACUGUGGAAGCCUACCCCACACUGGACAAGUCCAAACUGAAGACAGAAUUGUCCCUGCUCUAUGAAAAUGAAGAGUUCAAGGCUUGCAGUGGCGCAUUGGCUCUCUUCCAGGUUUUCAUGGAAAACAACCUUCAGGACACAUUCAGCGAGACUUACAACAGAGGACGGGCAAGCAACCAGAGUUCCUGAGUGUUUGGAAUGUCGGGCAUCACGGAGGACAGGCGGAGACCCAUUUUCAAGAUAGUGUCUCACCGCUCAACCAGUCAUCUCCUCCCCAUCAUAAAUAAGCAUAUUCGUCAAGGAAGCUCCAUCCUUUCAGAUGGAUGGAGUUCAAACUGCCAUCUUCAUGAUGAAGGUUACAAUCAUCUAACUGUUAACCAUAGAGAAUAUUCUGUUGAUCCAAUUACAGGUGCACAUACACAAAGCCUGGAGCAACUUUGGGGAGUGUGCAAUCAACUCUAUGGAGACUAAAAGGAAACUGUAAACAAAAUAAACUAUUCAACAUCGAAGAUCCCUUAGAGAUGUUAUUGAGUGGACCUACUGGCGUUGUAACCACCACAGACCUGGACAACUGGGGACGCUUUUCCAUGACAUACGAAAAAAAUGGUCAGAGAUCAAUUUAUGUUAAAUGUUUAUCUUUUUUUGUUUGCUCAUGUAAUGCAUUGUAAGCAGCUCUGUGUUGUUACUGACGUUGAUGCACAAGCCUAUAGUUAUGUUAUGCUUAAAAUUAAAUAUUUGCCCUGGGG
ensembl:lncRNA